UACGUAGGGUGCAAGCGUUGUCCGGAAUUAUUGGGCGUAAAGAGCUUGUAGGCGGUUUGUCGCGUCUGCUGUGAAAUUUCGGGGCUCAACCCCGAACUUGCAGUGGGUACGGGCAGACUAGAGUGUGGUAGGGGAGACUGGAAUUCCUGGUGUAGCGGUGAAAUGCGCAGAUAUCAGGAGGAACGCCGAUGGCGAAGGCAGGUCUCUGGGCCACUACUGACGCUGAGAAGCGAAAGCAUGGGGAGCGAACAGG
rnacentral:rRNA from 1 species